ACGCUGGCGGCGUGCCUAAUACAUGCAAGUCGAGCGAGCUGAAUUCAAAGAUCCCUUCGGGGUGAUUUGUUGGACGCUAGCGGCGGAUGGGUGAGUAACACGUGGGCAAUCUGCCCUAAAGACUGGGAUACCGCUUGGAAACAGGUGCUAAUACCGGAUAACAACAUGAAUCGCAUGAUUCAAGUUUGAAAGGCGGCGUAAGCUGUCACUUUAGGAUGAGCCCGCGGCGCAUUAGCUAGUUGGUGGGGUAAAGGCCUACCAAGGCAAUGAUGCGUAGCCGAGUUGAGAGACUGAUCGGCCACAUUGGGACUGAGACACGGCCCAAACUCCUACGGGAGGCAGCAGUAGGGAAUCUUCCACAAUGGACGCAAGUCUGAUGGAGCAACGCCGCGUGAGUGAAGAAGGUUUUCGGAUCGUAAAGCUCUGUUGUUGGUGAAGAAGGAUAGAGGCAGUAACUGGUCUUUAUUUGACGGUAAUCAACCAGAAAGUCACGGCUAACUACGUGCCAGCAGCCGCGGUAAUACGUAGGUGGCAAGCGUUGUCCGGAUUUAUUGGGCGUAAAGCGAGCGCAGGCGGAAUGAUAAGUCUGAUGUGAAAGCCCACGGCUCAGCCGUGGAACUGCAUCGGAAACUGUCAUUCUUGAGUGCAGAAGAGGAGAGUGGAACUCCAUGUGUAGCGGUGGAAUGCGUAGAUAUAUGGAAGAACACCAGUGGCGAAGGCGGCUCUCUGGUCUGCAACUGACGCUGAGGCUCGAAAGCAUGGGUAGCGAACAGGAUUAGAUACCCUGGUAGUCCAUGCCGUAAACGAUGAGCGCUAGGUGUUGGGGACUUUCCGGUCCUCAGUGCCGCAGCAUACGCAUUAAGCGCUCCGCCUGGGGAGUACGACCGCAAGGUUGAAACUCAAAGGAAUU
rnacentral:rRNA from 1 species